GCACACAACCAGUGGAACAUGUGGCUCAAUUCGAAACGAAACGAAGAACCUCACCAGGGCUUGACAUCCCGCUUCAUGUUCCCUUUGAAAGAAGGGAACUGCGAAAGCAUCGGCGGGACAGGUGCUGCAUGGCUGUCGUCAGUUCGUUCCGUGAGGAGUGCCCUUAAGUGGGACAACGAACGCAACCCCCAUCCUAUGUUACAAGUAUCAUAGGAGACUGCCCCCGAGUUUAUCGGAGGAGGAAGGAGGGGCAGACGUCAAGUCAGCAUGGUCCUUAUGCCCUGGGCUGCACACAUGUUACAAUGGGAAGUACAAUGGGUCUCGCAAGCCGGCAACGGCAAGCAAAUCCCUUUAAAGCUUCUCUCAGUUGGGAUUGAAGUCUGCAAUUCGACUUCAUGAACUAGGAAUUGGUAGUAAUCGCGGGUCAGCUAUACCGCGGUGAAUACGUUCUUGCCUCUUGCACACACCGCCCGUCAAGCCAACAAAGUCGUCGCUAUUUGAACCCCGCCCAUGGCGGGGGAGAGUAAUGAUGGCGAUGAGGGUUAAGUCGUAACAAGGUAUCCGUUCUGGAAGGAGCGGAUGGAUCACCUCCUUU
rnacentral:ncRNA from 1 species